rnacentral:rRNA from 1 species
UGGCUCAGAUUGAACGCUGGCGGCAUGCCUUACACAUGCAAGUCGAACGGCAGCGGACCGUUCGGGUGCCGGCGAGUGGCGAACGGUGAGUAAUAUAUCGGAACGUACCUUUCAGUGGGGGAUAACGUAGCGAAAGUUACGCUAAUACCGCAUAUUCUGUGAGCAGGAAAGCAGGGGAUCGCAAGACCUUGCGCUGAUUGAGCGGCCGAUAUCAGAUUAGCUAGUUGGUGAGGUAAAGGCUCACCAAGGCGACGAUCUGUAGCGGGGUCUGAGAGGAUGAUCCGCCACACUGGAACUGAGACACGGUCCAGACUCCUACGGGAGGCAGCAGUGGGGAAUUUUGGACAAUGGGCGCAAGCCUGAUCCAGCCAUGCCGCGUGAGUGAAGAAGGCCUUCGGGUUGUAAAGCUCUUUCGGCCGGGAAGAAAUCGCACAGGUUAAUACCCUGUGUGGAUGACGGUACCGGAAUAAGAAGCACCGGCUAACUACGUG